rnacentral:rRNA from 1 species
AGAGUUUGGUCCGGGCUCAGAUUGAACGCUGGCGGCAGGCCUAACACAUGCAAGUCGAGCGGCAGCGGGAAGUAGCUUGCUACUUUGCCGGCGAGCGGCGGACGGGUGAGUAAUGUCUGGGAAACUGCCUGAUGGAGGGGGAUAACUACUGGAAACGGUAGCUAAUACCGCAUGACCUCGCAAGAGCAAAGUGGGGGACCUUCGGGCCUCACGCCAUCGGAUGUGCCCAGAUGGGAUUAGCUAGUAGGUGAGGUAAUGGCUCACCUAGGCGACGAUCCCUAGCUGGUCUGAGAGGAUGACCAGCCACACUGGAACUGAGACACGGUCCAGACUCCUACGGGAGGCAGCAGUGGGGAAUAUUGCACAAUGGGCGCAAGCCUGAUGCAGCCAUGCCGCGUGUGUGAAGAAGGCCUUAGGGUUGUAAAGCACUUUCAGCGAGGAGGAAGGGUUCAGUGUUAAUAGCACUGAACAUUGACGUUACUCGCAGAAGAAGCACCGGCUAACUCCGUGCCAGCAGCCGCGGUAAUACGGAGGGUGCAAGCGUUAAUCGGAAUUACUGGGCGUAAAGCGCACGCAGGCGGUUUGUUAAGUCAGAUGUGAAAUCCCCGAGCUUAACUUGGGAACUGCAUUUGAAACUGGCAAGCUAGAGUCUUGUAGAGGGGGGUAGAAUUCCAGGUGUAGCGGUGAAAUGCGUAGAGAUCUGGAGGAAUACCGGUGGCGAAGGCGGCCCCCUGGACAAAGACUGACGCUCAGGUGCGAAAGCGUGGGGGAGCAAACAGGAUUAGAUACCCUGGUAGUCCACGCUGUAAACGAUGUCGACUUGGAGGUUGUGCCCUUGAGGCGUGGCUUCCGGAGCUAACGCGU